rnacentral:rRNA from 1 species
AUGUCCACCGACGCCGAACGUGCCGCCGCCGAGAAAGCUGAAGCUGACAAGAAGGCCGCCGAGGACGCCGCUGCUGCCACCAAAGCCGCGGCCUCUGCAUGGCCUACUGGAGGGUAUAACUCGUUUAUCCUGCUCCUACUGUUUUCGGUUUUAGCCAUGCUAGCGUUAUACGUAGAUCUUUCUGCAAUUAGCGUAGUAUGUGCUACUUUGACUGAAUAUCAGUAUGCGAUCAUAUGUGUCAAUGCCAUGCUAGUGAUUUACUCGUGGAUUAAUUUAAUCGAGAAAUUGCCUAUUUACUCAACAAUCCAAAAACCUAUUAUGUGUAGGAAUUUUUCGGCAAGUGGCUUUGCCGCUGCACUGAAACCGGAUAAGUUUACCGGUACAUACUUUAAGCGUUGGCAGACUAAGACCACGUUAUGGCUCACGGCUAUGAACGUGUUCUGGGUCACCGGUGUCUCCACGGGAACGAUUGCUCCUGAACAGGAGAAGGCGUUCAAGGAGGCUACCGUUGUGUUUCUCGGAGCAGUUCUUAGCGUGAUCGGAGAUAAACUGGUCGACGCAUAUUUACAUGUGCAUGUUGCCAAGGACUUGUGGGAGGCGCUCGAAUCUAAGUUCGGGGCAGCCGAUGCCGGAAGCGAGAUGUAUAUUAUAGAGCAGUUCCAUGAUUACAAGAUGGUUGAAAACCGUCCUGUAUUGGAGCAGGCUCAUGAGAUAAUAUGCAUUGUUAAGGAGCUUGAACUUCUUAAGUGCGAGUUACCGGGCAAGUUUGUCGCGGGCUGCAUAAUCGCUAAGCUCCCUAAUUCCUGGAGGAACUUUGCCACCACUCUGAAACAUCAGAGGCGUGAAUUCUCUGUGGAGGAUGUCAUUGGCCAUCUGAGUGUUGAGCAGAAUUCAAGGGCAAAGGACUCGCACGGAAAAGGGGCCGAAGGGACUUCUGUCGCCAACAUGGUGAACCAGAAGAACUUCAACUCCCACAAGCCCAAGGGAAAGAACGGUGUCCAACACAAUACCAACUUUAAGAAGAAGGGUAAGAAGACCUUCAAGAAGAACAAGAAGGACGAGGGCUGCUUCACUUGUGGUUCGGUUAAACAUUGGGCCAACAAGUGCCCAAACAAGUACAAGAAGUCAGGACAGGACUCCAAGUCCGUCAACAUGAUUGUGGACAACAAUGAGAAUGGUGCACCUGGGUACGGUCACAGGCCACGGGUCCGUAUUGAUGGGGAAUGGCGCGAGUGCUUCUGUUCAUGGUGUUGGCACGGUCGAUCUGAAGUUUACUUCGGGAAGGAUCGUGCAGCUGAAGAACGUGCAGCAUGUCCCCGCCAUCAAGAAGAACCUCGUUAG